rnacentral:ncRNA from 2 species
UUCCCUCAGGAUAGCUGG